rnacentral:rRNA from 1 species
CAAGUCGAGCGGCAGCGCGGGGGCAACCCUGCGGCGAGCGGCGAACGGGUGAGUAAUGCAUCGGAACGUGUCCUCUUGUGGGGGAUAACCAGUCGAAAGACUGGCUAAUACCGCAUGAGAUCGAGAGAUGAAAGCGGGGGACCGUAAGGCCUCGCGCGAGAGGAGCGGCCGAUGCCGGAUUAGCUAGUUGGUGGGGUAAAAGCCUACCAAGGCGACGAUCCGUAGCUGGUCUGAGAGGACGACCAGCCACACUGGGACUGAGACACGUCCCAGACUCCUACGGGAGGCAGCAGUGGGGAAUUUUGGACAAUGGGGGCAACCCUGAUCCAUCCAUGCCGCGUGUGUGAAGAAGGCCUUCGGGUUGUAAAGCACUUUCGGACGGAACGAAAUCGCGCGAGUUAACAGCCCGCGUGGAUGACGGUACCGUAAGAAGAAGCACCGGCUAACUACGUGCCAGCAGCCGCGGUAAUACGUAGGGUGCGAGCGUUAAUCGGAAUUACUGGGCGUAAAGUGUGCGCAGGCGGCUCCGCAAGUCGAGUGUGAAAGCCCCGAGCUUAACUUGGGAAUUGCGCUCGAAACUACGGAGCUGGAGUGUGGCAGAGGAAGGUGGAAUUCCACGUGUAGCGGUGAAAUGCGUAGAGAUGUGGAGGAACACCGAUGGCGAAGGCAGCCUUCUGGGCCAACACUGACGCUCAUGCACGAAAGCGUGGGGAGCAAACAGGAUUAGAUACCCUGGUAGUCCACGCCCUAAACGAUGAUGACUAGUUGUUGGAGGAGUUAAAUCCUUUAGUAACGCAGCUACGCGUGAAGUCAUCCGCCUGGGGAGUACGGUCGCAAGAUUAAAACUCAAA